GCCAGGUGUGGUGGUGCAUACCUGUAAUCCCAGCAGCUCUGGAGGCUGAGGCAGCAGGAUUUUGAGUGCAAAGCCAGCCUCAGCAAUUGCAAGGUGCUAAGCAACUCAGUGAGACCCUGUCUUUA
rnacentral:sRNA from 1 species